UACGGAGGGUGCGAGCGUUAAUCGGAAUUACUGGGCGUAAAGCGCACGUAGGCGGUGGCGCGAGUCGGAUGUGAAAGCCCCGGGCUUAACCUGGGAAUUGCAUUCGAUACCGCGUUGCUAGAGUUUGGGAGAGGGAAGGGGAAUUCCGGGUGUAGCGGUGAAAUGCGUAGAUAUCCGGAGGAACACCAGUGGCGAAGGCGCCUUCCUGGCCUAAGACUGACGCUGAGGUGCGAAAGCGUGGGGAGCAAACAGG
rnacentral:rRNA from 1 species